UUGCCAGACUCCUACGGGAGGCAGCAGUGGGGAAUAUUGCCCAAUGGGGGGCCCCCUGAUGCAGCUCCGCCGCGUGGGUGAAGGCGCACCUCGGUUCUUCAAGCCCUCUCUUCCGGGAAGAACCGCGCACAGGUUCUCCUUUACGGUACCUUCCUCAGAAGCCCCUUCUCACUACGUUCCCUCCGCCGCGGUCCUCCGUAGGGGGCCCGCUUUAUCCGGAUUCACUGGGUGGAAAGGGAGCGUAGACGGCGACUCAAGUCUGGAGGGAAAGCCCGGGGACCAACCCCGGGACUGCUCUGGAAACUGCGUCGCUGGAGUACGGGAGGGGCAGGCGGAAUGCCUGGUGUAGCGGUGAAAUGCGUAGAGAGAAGGAGGAACACCGGCGGCGAAGGCGGCCUGCUGGACCGUAACUGACGUUGAGGCUCGAGAGCGUGGGGAGCAAACAGGAUUAGAUACCCGUGUA
rnacentral:rRNA from 1 species